CCGCCCACUCCCCGCUUCCCCCAAGCGCCGCUCGGGCUGCACCGCGCUCACUCCGAGUUUCGGGCUCCUGCUAAGCUAGCGCCGCUGUCGUCUCCCUUCAGUCGCCGUCAUGAUUAUCUACCGGGACCUCAUCAGCCACGAUGAGAUGUUCUCCGACAUCUACAAGAUCCGGGAGAUCGUGGAUGGGCUGUGCCUGGAGGUGGAGGGGAAGAUGGUCAGUAGGACAGAAGGUAACACUGAUGACUCGCUCAUUGGUGGGAAUGCCUCCGCUAAAGGCCCAGAGGGCAAAGGUACCCAAAGCACAGUAAUCACUGGUGUCGAUAUUGUCAUGAACCAUCAUCUGCAGGAAACAAGUUUCACAAAAGAAGCCUACAAGAAGUACAUCAAAGAUUACAUGAAAUCAAAGGCAAACUUGAAGAACAGAGACCAGAAAGAGUAAAACCUUUUAUGACAGGGGCUGCAGAACAAAUCAAGCACAUCCUUGCUAAUUUCAAAAACUACCAGUUCUUUAUUGGUGAAAACAUGAAUCCAGAUGGCAUGGUUGCUCUAUUGGUCUACCGUGAGGAUGGUGUGACCCCAUAUAUGAUUUUCUUUCAGGAUGGUUUAGAAAUGGAAAAAUGUUAACAAAUUUGGCAAUUACUUUGGAUCUAUCACCUGUCAUCAUAACUGGCUUCUGCUUGUCAUCCACACAACACCAGGACUUAAGACAAAUGGGACUGAUGUCAUCUUGAGCUCUUCAUUUAUUUUGACCGUGAUUUAUUUGGAGUAGAGGCAUUGUUUUUAAGAAAAACAUGUCAUGUAGGUUGUGUAAAAAUAAAAUGCAUUUAAACUCAAAAAAAAAAAAAA